rnacentral:rRNA from 1 species
UGACUGGGGCGGUCGCCUCCUAAAAAGUAACGGAGGUGUACAAAGGUUUCCUCAGGCUGGACAGAAAUCAGCCGGAGAGUGCAAAGGCAUAAGGAAGCUUGACUGUGAGACCUACAAGUCGAACAGAAACGAAAGUUGGUCUUAGUGAUCCGACGGUACCGCGUGGAAGGGCCGUCGCUCAACGGAUAAAAGUUACUCUAGGG